AAGAUGAAGAAAUGAGUUAAAAGCUCUCAGGUAUUACCUUUUAGAGAUUUCCUCAAAGUUUUGUGCAAAAAUAGAUAAAGAGACCCAAAGGUUUGAGUUCUUGAUCCAAUAAUCCGAGAUUGAGAUUUAAUACAUGUGUUUUUGGGAUUUAUAGUGGAUCCUUAAGGGUUUAGUAAUUGAAGAUCAAUGAAUCACUACUUUAGAACAAAGAGAAAUACAAGUUUCUUUUGAUUUCCAAGUAGAUUUUUCAAAUGGCAAGAGUUUCCUUUAAGUGUCUAAAAAUUCUCCCUUUUACACACCCCCAAUGCCCUAUUUAUGGACAAUUGGGAGAAUGUGGCCCCAUUUUAGGGCUCACGUGGUGAAAUGCCACUGGUGGACCCUGAAAUAGGGCCGGACUACUUUUACCAAAUCGGACCGGGUGACACGCAAAAUGAGAGAGUGCACUGGGCAAGCCCAACGGGCUUCUCGGGCUGGGUUACGUCGCAAAACCCCCGGUAACUCAAAAAAGUAAAAAUGGUUAAACACAUAUAUUUUCUCAGCCACGGACCAUUGGUCUGAGAAUCGGGACGAUCAAGAAUCCCGAGCCAAACUUAUGUGAAAAAACGAUUUAUCAUCAUUGAGCCGUUAGGGGAAAAAUUUGAGUGUCUACAGUUUGCCCCCCACUUUGAUGAUAUUUUGCUAUUUGAGCAAGAUGCCAUCACAGUGUAAAGUAGACGCGCAAGUAAGAAAAUACUUACUUGAUUUGCAUUCUUUGAAAGACUUGGACGGAUGAGGUGUGCCAUUUUGGCAGCUUUGUCAAUGUGGAUUGCUAGUUGGCGAUUGUUAGGUGGGCAAAUUGCGCCAUGGUGAUUGUUGGCGACUUUUGAGGCUAUUUGCUCGGGCUGGUGGCUUUGUUGAAAUGCUCCACUGUGAGAGGUUGUCCUUUGGACGGUGCCUUCUUUGAAGGGCUUUGGGUGCCAUGGUGGACUUCAGUUCUGAAAUGCUUCAUUGUGGGAGAUUGUCCUUUGGACGGUGAAGGGUGAGGAGAUGCACCAUGGUGAUUGUCGGUGGCUUCUGCGACUAUUUGCACAAAACGGCUGCUUUGAUAAAGAUGCUUUGUGCCAAACGGUGGCUUUGAUAAAGAUGCUUUUGUGCCAAACAACAGCUUUGAUAAAAUGCUUUGCGCUAAAUGGUGGCUUUAUAUUAAAGCUCAACUGUGGGAGGUCGUCCUUCGGACGGUGCCUUCUUUGAAGAGCUUUGGUCCUCGAGGGAUUUUAGUUUUGAAAUGCUCCACUGUGGAAGGUUGUCCUUUGGACGAUGGGAGGGGAGGAGAUGCGCCAUCAAACGGCGGCUUUAAUAAAGAUGCUCUGUGCCAAACAACGUCUUUGAUAAAAUGCUUUACACCAAAAGGUGGCUUUGAUAAAAAGCUCUACUGUGGGAGGUCGUCCUUUGGAUGGUGCUUUCUUUGAAGGGGCUUUGGGUACGACACAUGGGACGACUUCGGUGCGCCAACUGGGACGGCUUGGGUGUGCCACUUGGGACGGCUUAGGUGCGCCACUUAGAAUGUCUUUGGUUGCCUCGGGGGACUUUGAUUCUGGAAUGCUCCACUUUGGGAGGUACCGGCGAAAACGAAUUUUUUGAUAGGAAAACAUGCAUUUGGCUAGUGGUUAGAAUUAUGAAUUCUGUGAUUAGGCUUGGAAAAGUGUGCGUGUGUGAAGCGUGAUUUUGCAUGAAAAUACAUGAAUUUGUGUGUUUGUGUGAAUAUGCGUGUUAUGUGAAUUUACGUGUUUUUGUGUGUUUCUGUGUGAAUUUAUUAAAAAAAUAGUGAUGUGGUAUGCUAAACGAGGCGAGUUACCUAUGGCUAACGGUGUGUUGCCUUGCGUAGGCGGCUAGCCGUUGAUGGGUUGCCGGUUAAGUAUGAGAGCUGGUUGCAGUAAAUGGACCUUUGGAUUGAAUUGGGCCCAAAGGCAAAAGCUGGGUCCAUAGGCCCAUUAGACUUUAUAAAAGGUGAAAGUGACAUUCAUUUGUUACUUUCAACCUAACUUACCAACCUCUUCUUGUCAAACACUCUCUUCUUCUCUUUUGCUAUUUCUCUCAACCACGACUAAUGACUGCCGAGAAUGUUGUGGAUUGGUUUCCCGGUGAUACAGUGGUCAAUCCCGUGGCUCGACCCGUGACCCACGGAAUGAAACUGCGGGAGUUUAUUCCUGACGCGGGGACUACGAUCAGCCAAUGGCACGAUUUGCUGAGGCACAUCUGAGAUAUUUUGAAACUUUUUUCUUUUUUUUUUCUGCAUUAUUAAGAUUAGAAACAUGCGGAGAUUAGGUUAGAAAUCAAAAACUAGGUAGAAAUUUACCGUUUUGAUGUUUCUGGGCGUUCUUGGGCUAUCACGGGUUGCUGUGGCGUACGCCACAAUUGUUGUGGCAUGCUCCACUUUCUUAUGUUUGGCUGUGCUGCAGCCUUGUGGCGUGCUCCAUAGCACUAGUGGUGCACGCCACUUGAGUAGUGCCUUGCGCCACCACUCAAUGGCUUAUGCCACAAUAGCUGUGAAACACUAAAUUUUUGUCAUUUUUCGUUGUUUUUCCUUGCUUACCUGCAUCAAAACAUGAAAUAUAUAUAUGUGCCUUUGCACUUUAUUAGUAUACUUACAGCGGUUAUUUUGCAAAAAAGCACGAAGUGCGGGAAAUUCGACGGCAACGCCUAUACGGCCGGUGAAUGGUUCGAUCGGUUACCUAUGCGAGUCCAGGACUAUAUUCGGGAGGCGGGCUUUGGCCGUUUUGUCGAUACCCUUCCCCGAGUGCAAGGGCAGAUCCUGCCUUCUAGUAUUCUAGCGCUCAUAAAGCGGUGGAUGGAUACUACUCACACUUUCCAUCUACCGUUCGGUGAGAUGACGAUUACAUCAGUCGAUUUUGCUGCCAUCAUCGGGCUUCGCUUUAGAGGGCGGUCAGUCAUUUUUGAUUACCAGCUGAGGACUUUGGACCGACCGGGUCUGUAGGCGAUUCUUCGAGCUGUUAUCGGGAUGGAGCCUACCAUCUCCGAUAAGAGGAUAUGUUAUGAGAGCAUUAUUUCUCACUAUGAGAGGCCUUGAGAGCACAUGGAGGAGCUGGAUGUGGAUGUGGUAGCAUGAGCCUAUCUCUUUUUUUUGCUGUCGACUACUUUAUUCACUAAUCAUGGUAACGAUGCAGAUUUGGCACUGCUACCUUCUCUUCAGGAUCUAGAUGCGACGAGGCAGUUUAACUGGGGAGCUGUUGCCUUGUCGUUUCAGUACUAUAGCAUGGACUUGUGCAUCUGAGGAGCGCACCUAAAGGUCGGCUACAGGCGCGUCAUUGAGUUAGCCAUAUUCCUUUGAGCAUUUUCCCUGUGCCGAGCUUAUACGACUUUGAUGGUGACACUAAUGCGAGGAUUCUCCCUCGAGGUCGAGCAUGGAGAUUUGGUCAGAGAUAUGCUCAUACUACCUUGGAGGUCUCAGUGUUCCGACAGUUGCUUAACAACAUGACCUGGGAUCGGAUAGAGACGUACUCGUGGGGGGAGGUGACUACGUAUGCUAACGUUGUUUAGGCGGCCGUCGGGUACCAGCACAGACGGCUUUCCUUUCCGGUUUGUUUUGUGACAUGUACUACCUUGGGAGAGGGUGUACGAGUGGGAGGUUGGCCCAGACUGGAGGAGAGUGCCACAUGACAUGUCAUAUUAUAUGUUGCCCACCAGGUCUAUUCGGCUUGACUAGGACAUUACAGUUGCGUGGAGAGGAUCGGCUACCACUGAUCAUUUAGCUGCUUUUGUGCCUGAUGCUUACACUAUUUUUGUGCAAACCCAGCUCUUGGUCCAUAUCCCUCCACCUACCGAGUCUGAUCUUUUUGUCGAGGCGGAAGAGCUGGAUAGAGGUCAAGGUGAUGCCCCAGCUUAGUAGCGGUAGCAACGCGAUAAGCGCGUGAGGGGUUCUAAUUCCGUGGCCCUAGAUAUGGCUAUCGUCAUCGGGAAGCCGGAGCACGGACCAAGUGCCUUUUUCUCUUUCAUUUUGGAGCGCACAGGGCAGCCAACAUAGGGCAUGCUAGAGACCCAUCUCGUGAACUCAUACCGCAUGUCUUUGCUGUGCUACACCCAUGUGUGUCAGCUGCAUGCAGUAGCGCGCCUCAAGUUCGUGGUAGCGAGACUCUCCGACAAGCAUGUAUCUAGAGUUAACAUGGUGCCUCCAGCUAGACAAGGUUGGGGGAUUCAGCGUGGCGGGAGUGCUGGUCAUUGGCUAGUUAUCGUUGAAGAGACCGAGGAAUCCAGUAGUGAUGACUCGGAGGAGACAGCUUCAAACAUGUCUUGAGUAUGUUACCCCAGUUUACGUUAUUAUGUUUUCUUUCUUUCUUCUUUUUGUAUUCCGGAUCCAGUUUGGGGGAAUGAACUAUGUAAAGAAUGAAUGUUUUUUAUUUAUAAGAAGGUGAGUACCAAUUUAUUUA